rnacentral:tRNA from 1 species
UUCCUGGUGGUUCAGUGGCUAAGGCUUUGCACUCCCAAUGCAGGGGGUCUGGGUUCAAUCCCUAGUCAAGGAA